AUUGAACGCUGGCGGCAGGCCUAACACAUGCAAGUCGAACGGUAACAGAAAGCAGCUUGCUGCUUUGCUGACGAGUGGCGGACGGGUGAGUAAUGUCUGGGAAACUGCCUGAUGGAGGGGGAUAACUACUGGAAACGGUAGCUAAUACCGCAUAACGUCGCAAGACCAAAGAGGGGGCCCUUCGGGCCUCUUGCCAUCGGAUGUGCCCAGAUGGGAUUAGCAAGUAGGUGGGGUAACGGCUCACCUAGGCGACGAUCCCUAGCUGGUCUGAGAGGAUGACCAGCCACACUGGAACUGAGACACGGUCCGGACUACUACGGGAGGCAGCAGUGGGGAAUACUGCACAAUGGGCGCAAGCCUGUUGCAGCCAUGCCGCGUGUAUGAAGAAGGCCUUCGGGUUGUAAAGUACUUUCAGCGGGGAGGAAGGGAGUAAAGUUAAUACCUUUGCUCAUUGACGUUACCCGCAGAAGAAGCACCGGCUAACUCCGUGCCAGCCGCCGCGGUAA
rnacentral:rRNA from 1 species